GGCGAUCCUUCUUUUCAGAAGGCGGUCGAUCAAUUUCUGCGCGG
rnacentral:tRNA from 1 species